rnacentral:rRNA from 1 species
CCUACGGGUGGCUGCAGUGGGGAAUUUUGGACAAUGGGGGCAACCCUGAUCCAGCCAUUCCGCGUGAGUGAAGAAGGCCUUCGGGUUGUAAAGCUCUUUUGUCCGGAGCGAAACGGGCGGCCCUAAUACGGUCGUCUACUGACGGUACCGGAAGAAUAAGCACCGGCUAACUACGUGCCAGCAGCCGCGGUACUACGUACGGUGCGAGCGUUCGUCGGACGUGCUGGGCGUAUAGCGUGCGCAGGCGGUUAAAUCCCCGGGCUCAACCUGGGAAUGGCAGUUGGGACUGCAAGGCUGGAGUGGGGCAGAGGGGACUAGAAUUCCUGGUGUAGCAGUGAAAUGCGUAGAUAUCAGGAGGAAUACCGAUGGCGAAGGCAGGUCCCUGGGUUAACACUGACGCUCAUGCACGAAAGCGUGGGGAGCAAACAGGAUUAGAUACCCCAGUAGUC